GACGAACCGUGCGAACGUUGUUCGGAUUCACUGGGCUUAAAGGGCGCGUAGGCGGACUCGCAAGUCUGUGGUGAAAGCCCCCAGCUCAACUGGGGAAGUGCCGUGGAUACUGCAAGUCUGGAGGAGGGUAGGGGCAUCUGGAACGCUGGGUGGAGCGGUGAAAUGCGUUGAUAUCCAGCGGAACUCCGGUGGCGAAGGCGAGGUGCUGGACCCUUUCUGACGCUGAGUGCGCGAAAGCCAGGGGAGCAAACGGGG
rnacentral:rRNA from 1 species